rnacentral:rRNA from 1 species
UGGUACCGUCAGUGCAAGAUGGUAUUAGCAUCUAGCAUUUUCUUCCCACUUGACAGAGCUUUACGACCCGAAAGCCUUCAUCACUCACGCGGCGUUGCUGCGUCAGGGUUUCCCCCAUUGCGCAAAAUUCCUC